rnacentral:lncRNA from 1 species
UAUAAAUCAUAUAUAUAUUGGAGAAUGAUGAUUUAGGAAUACACCCACAUCCACAAACAUGAAGAAAAAAAAAGAUAAGAAAAAUGUCAACUGGAGAUGUAGCCCAAUGGUACAGUGCUUGCACCUGCUCAAGGGUCUGGGUUUGGUCACAGUACCAGGUGGUAUACAUAUGAGAAAUACCAAAGUGGACUGUCUGGGCUCUAAAUUUUUAUUAGAGUUAGCCAGGUAGUUAUGAGGAGAACAUAAGUUGCAAACUAACUGGAAUAUCGAGGGAGCAAAUUGGAGAGCAGAGAGCUUGGCCAAUGGUAAGGCUAAAAAUGUAGGCAGGAGGCCAGGCCGUGGCGGGACACACCUUUAAUCCCAGCUCAGGAGGCAGAGGCAGGCAGGUCUCUUGAGUUCCAGGACAGCCAGGGCUACACAGAGAAACCCUGUUUUGAAAAAGC